GUGCGCGGGCCGGGGCGGGGCGGGGCGGGGGGGGGGGCGGGGGGGGGGGCUGGGCGGUGUGGCCCGCGCCUCAAGCGGGGGCGCGCGCGGGGGCUGGGCGAGGCCGAGGGAGGCGGUGGGAGCCCGUGCGGCUUGGCCGGGGGAGGGCCUGCGGAGGGGACGUGGGACGGGCGUGAGAGGUGGCGGAGCGGCUGGGGCUCCGUCUUUAGCGGGUCUGUGGAGGCGUCUUAAUCUUCCUGAGUGGGCGCGGGGAAGGCGCAGCCCACCAGACGCCGUGUUAAAGGGAAAGUCGGUUGACGAGGGAAGCGACGCGGCCCGGGGCCGCCCGGAGUCCCGCCCCAGCGCUGCGAAGGAUCGGGGCAGAGCGGUGGGCAGUUCACUUCAGCAGAGAAAAUAUUGUAUGCAAAGACAAAAAAAUUAACACCAUUUCAAUGAGAGGUCACUUACAUAUUCCAUUGUGAAGACGUUUUCAAAAGUUAAUACAAAACAUGUACACCUGUCCUGUUUUCCUCCUAAGCCUCACAUUGCUAUGUCUCCUACCUCUCCGCAUCUGCUGGCUUGUACACAUGGUGUUCCUGUCUCCUCUGCUGGAUGAUGGCAGCUGCAGCCCACUGCUCUUCUCUCUAAGCAAGCAUGCCAGAAAGCUUGGAGAACCGCAGCUGCCCUUUUCAGAGCAAAAGGGCAGCUAAAGCUGGAUAGCUAAAGCUGGGACUUCUUACUAAGUAAGAUAUGAACAACUCCUGCCCACCACUGCAAUUCCCCAGUGUAUAAACAUCAGCUUCCACAAACUUAAGAUAUGCCUCCGAGGAGUCAGAGGAGCUUGUUCCAACCCUUGCUAUGGUUUGGUUUUUAUCACUGGCAUCAAAUCGUUCAGUUAUUUUCCUUGCAUUAAUAGGCUUCAUUUCUGUACAAGAAAAUGUCUUAAAUGAUCAUAGUUUGUCCGUCAUCGUUUCAAGUAAAAAUGGUUUGCCAUGACAAAAGCAGCUAUUUGAGCUUGCAACUCAAAAGACUUACAUGUGCUUUUUCUGAAGACACUGUAUUUUAGUAUGCAGAAGAAUUAAUUUACGUGUAUUUCCCAUUUGUCACACAAAAUGUUAAAGGGACAUGUACUCCAUAAAAUUAAUGGUUUUUACUAAGUUUUUUUAAGGACAUUCUUAAACUUUUUUUUUUCAUAACGUGUGGCAGGAAGAAUACAUUGACUUAAUUCAUGCUAGCAGUUUUACUCACCAUUGCUUUUGCACCAUCAAUGCAAAUGCUAAUGCAGGUGUUCCAAGAUAAACUAUGAAAUUCAAAAAGUUCAUUUACCACUUUGAUAUUUCAGCACAAGUUGUAUUUAAUGCCUGUCAUUCAAAUAAAAGAUCUUCUCUGAUGAUUAGUUGGUGCUGAUACCAGAUAGAUGUAGGCAAAACAGCUAGUCCAGCAAAAUCUGUAGGCCUGCCCAUUUUUUAAGGUAAAAUUACAAUUCUGCAGACGAGAUAUCAACCCAAUCUUCAUGAUUUCAGUUAAAUCUUUAAAGAGUUACUGUAUAUGUGGAAAAUUGAACUUACGUAAUUUAUUUUACUGACUUUUCAUCCAGCAGGUAUUGCGAUGUCAUCUGUAUACAGCUUCAUUCGUAUUUUUUAUGCUCCAGCCAAUGCAAUACAAUAAUUCAGUCUGUAAAGUGUUUCCGUGGCUUUUUCACUUCUGAUUUCAAAAGCUAGAAUAAUGUUUGGCUUUAAAGAGCUUUUCACAUCUAUUUUUUAAUAUAUUCAGUUCCUUUUUCUUUAAACUCUCAUCUCAAAAUGAAACUACAACUUAUCUGAAAGUCUUUUGUUACAUAAGACACAAUAAGGUAAAUUGUUAACAUCUAUAAGGCCAAGGAAAAGAUACUUUUCCUUAUAUUUUUAUUUUUUAUUUAUAUUAUAUCCAGUUUCUUUAAAUAGAUUACUUCCUUCCAUGAAUCAGAGGACUCUGAUAUCUCAGUUUCAUCUUUUUUGGCAUUUUUUGACGUAGUCCAUCGUUGGGGUGAGAAAGCAAUUCUUCUAAUCUCCCAUUUAAAGCCAAUGAUCCAUCCAUUUCCCAUGUUGUUUCUUCCUUUGCAUAAAUUCAGAUUUCUAUCUGGUUUCAUUUCUCUCCUGCAUUUCCUUCUUUAACAUUUCUUUUUCUUUUUUUUUUUUUUUUUUUUUUUGAGGAAGAUUAGCCCUGAGCUAACUACUGCCAGUCCUCCUCUUUUUGCUGAGGAAGACUGGUCCUGAAUUAACAUCCGUGCCCAUCUUCCUCUACUUUAUAUGUGGGGCGCCUGCCACAGCAUGGCUUGUUGAGAGGUGCCAUGUCCACACUCGGGAUCUGAACCAGCGAGCCCUGGGCCUCCGAGAAGCAGAACGUUCGAACUUAACCGCUGUGCCACCGGGCCAGCCCCUCUUUAACAUUUCUUGUAGUGCAGUUUUCUAGUGAUGAAAUUUCUCAAGUUUUUAGUUUGAAAAAGUCUUUUUCAUCUCAAUUUUUGAAAUAUUUUCUCUAGAUAUAGAAUUCUAGGUUGACUUUUUUCAGAAAAAGAUUUUGCUCCAUUGUUUUCUGCCUUGUAUACUGAGAAGUGUGCUAUCAUGCAUAACUUUGUUUUUCUGUAUGUAAUGUGCCUUCUAUGGUUGCUUGUAAGAGUUUUUUCUU
ensembl:lncRNA